CUGCAGGCAGGGGAGGAUGGAAGAGUGGCCCAGCAUGCCUUGCUUACAGUUGCACAGGAUGGAAGCUGUCUGAGCUUGCAGCCUUCUCCCAAGUCUUCCUGCAGUGCAUUUAGCACAGAGAACAGCACUGGGGAUGAAGACACCCCUGGGGGCUUCUCCAUCUGCACGGAGCCCUCAGGAAACAGCAUCCAGAGGCCCGAGGAAACCGGAGAGGCAAAGUGAAGCUGCUCCAUGAGGAAACAGACCUGUGACAGUGCCCUGGCUCCAUUCCCUUCUGUAACAUCCCUUUCUUAAGGCCGAUUGGGCUAGGAUAGGCCCUAAACCUGCUGUUACUGGUGUCUUCACAAGAAGAGGACCAUUUGGACACCAUCACACAGAUGCUUACAUAGUGGAAAAGAGAAUAAAUAACCUUGAACUCGAGCUUUGGAACCUCCUGCUUCUUCCUCCUGAGUCAUGGGAAUACAAGUGUGACCACCAUCCCCAGCUGUGCCUCUUGCACACCAGACAAGCACUCUGCCAACAGCUACAUCUCCAGCCCCAAACUUCUUUUAUUGUUUGUAUUUCCUGAAGACGUGCGUUCUCGGAAGCAUGUGAGGUCAGACAGAACUUGGAAUAUGAGAUCAGUCACCUGCAAAGUGUAGAAGGUAGUACUUGAUUCAGCUUUUCCCGGCACCAAGUUUCCAACAACCGAAGCCGCCAUUUGUCUUGGCAGAGGAACUCUGAAAAUCUGCGUUCUGACAACUGUCAAAGUCCUUUGGAGAGGGAUCAGAUGGAAAACUGAAACAGGUGUUUAGCCAGUCCAGAUUUUCAAUCAAAUAAUUAUUUGAUCAGUUACCUUGCCACAGGAAGCUUUGGGUCUUGCAAAAGAUUGAAUCACCUCCUCUUCCUUUUCUGUUAUUUAGGAUGAAAAAAACAAUAAAGGAAA